rnacentral:rRNA from 1 species
CCUACGGGCGGCAGCAGUGAGGAAUAUUGGUCAAUGGACGGAAGUCUGAACCAGCCAUGCCGCGUGCAGGAAGACGGCUCUAUGAGUUGUAAACUGCUUUUGUACAAGGGUAAACCUGAAUACGUGUAUUCAGCUGAAAGUACUGUACGAAUAAGGAUCGGCUAACUCCGUGCCAGCAGCCGCGGUAAUACGGAGGAUCCAAGCGUUAUCCGGAUUUAUUGGGUUUAAAGGGUGCGUAGGCGGAUUGAUAAGUUAGAGGUGAAAUGUCCGAGCUUAACUCGGGAACUGCCUCUAAUACUGUUGGUCUAGAGUGUAGAUGCGGUAGGCGGAAUGUAUGGUGUAGCGGUGAAAUGCUUAGAGAUCAUACAGAACACCGAUUGCGAAGGCAGCUUACCAAUCUAUAUCUGACGUUGAGGCACGAAAGCGUGGGGAGCAAACAGGAUUAGAUACCCCUGUAGUC